rnacentral:rRNA from 1 species
UACGUAGGGUGCAAGCGUUUAAUCGGAAUUACUGGGCGUAAAGCGUGCGUAGACGGCUAUCUAAGUCGGGUGUGAAAGCCCCGGGCUCAACCCAGGAAGUGCACUUGAAACUGCCAGGCUAGAGUACUGGAGAGGUUGGUGGAAUUCUCGGUGUAGAGGUGAAAUUCGUAGAUAUCGAGAGGAACACCGGUGGCGAAGGCGGCCAACUGGACAGAUAC